rnacentral:rRNA from 1 species
GACGAACGCUGGCGGCGUGCCUAAUACAUGCAAGUCGAACGCAGUGGGGACGGGUGAGUAACACGUGGGUAACCUCCCAUCAGAGGGGAUAACACUUGGAAACAGGUGCUAAACCGAUACUGAUGGAUGGACCCGCGGUGCAUGAGCCAGUGGGUGGGGUAACGGCUCACCAAGGCAACGAUGCAUAGCGGACCUGAGAGGUGGAUCGGCCACACUGGGAGUGAGAAACGGCCCAGACUCCUACGGGAGGCAGCAGUGGGGAAUCUUGGGCAAUGGACGAAAGUCUGACCGAGCAACGCCGCGUGAGUGAAGAAGGUUUUCGGAUCGUAAAACACUGUUGGUAGAGAAGCGGUAUCUAACCAGAAAGCCACGGCUAACUACGUGCCAGCAGCCGCGGUAAUAC